rnacentral:rRNA from 1 species
CAUGCAAGUCGAACGAGGAUAUAUCCUUCGGGAUAUAAGCCGAGUGGCGCAAGGGUGAGUAAUGCAUAGAUUACCUGCCUCUAGGAUAAGGACAACUUUGUGAAAACGAAGCUAAUACUUAAUAAUACAAAAGAAAAUAAUUUUCUUUUGUCAAUGGGAGGGUAGCAAUACCUUUUGCCUAGAGAGGGGUUUAUGUCCUAUCAGCUUGUUGGUGGGGUAAUGGCCUACCAAGGCGAAGACGGGUAGCCGGUCUUAGGGGAUGGUCGGCCACACUGGGACUGAGACACUGCCCAGACUUCUACGGAAGGCUGCAGUCGAGAAUCUUUCGCAAUGCCCGAAAGGGUGACGAAGCGACGCCGCGUGAGUGAGGAAGGCCUUAGGGUUGUAAAGCUCUGUCAGGAGUUAAGAAAUAUAAGUGUGUUAAUACCACGUUUAUUUGACGAAGGCUCCAAAGGAAGCCACGGCUAACUCUGUGCCAGCAGCCGCGGUAAUACAGAGGUGGCAAGCGUUGUUCGGAAUUAUUGGGCGUAAAGAGCACGUAGGUGGGUUUGUAAGUCAGAUGUGAAAGCCUUCUGUUCAACGGAAGAAUUGCAUCUGAAACUGCAAGUCUUGAGUGUAGGAGGGGAGAAUGGAACUUCUGGUGGAGCGGUGAAAUGCGUAGAUAUCAGAAGGAACGCCGGCGGCGAAAGCGAUUCUCUGGCCUAUUACUGACGCUCAGUGUGCGAAAGCUAGGGGAGCAAACGGGAUUAGAUACCCCGGUAGUCCUAGCCGUAAACGAUGGGCACUAAGUAGAGGGAAUUACCGAUGUUCUCUCUGCCGUAGCUAACGCAUUAAGUGCCCCGCCUGGGGAGUACGGCCGCAAGGCUAAAACUCAAAAGAAUUGACGGGGGCUCGCACAAGCGGUGGAGCAUGUGGCUUAAUUCGAUGCAACGCGAAAAACCUUACCGGGGCUUGACAUGGUAGAAGUAGGAACCCGAAAGGGUAACGAACGGUAUCCAGUCCAUAGCUAUCACAGGUGUUGCAUGGCUGUCGUCAGCUCGUGUCGUGAGACGUUGGGUUAAGUCCCCUAACGAGCGAAACCCUUGUUUUUAGUUACCAACGGGUUAUGCCGGGUACUCUAGAAAGACUGCCGUCGUCAAGACGGAGGAAGGUGGGGAUGACGUCAAGUCAUCAUGGCCCUUAUGCCCCGGGCUGCACACGUGCUACAAUGGUCGGUACAAACGGAAGCGAAGCCGAGAGGUGAAGCGAAUCCUAAAAAGCCGAUCUCAGUUCGGAUUGGAGGCUGAAAUUCGCCUCCAUGAAGUUGGAAUCGCUAGUAAUCGCGGAUCAGCAAUGCCGCGGUGAAUAUGUUCCCGAGCCUUGUACACACCGCCCGUCAAGCCACCCAAGCAGGAUGCACCCGAAAACAUUAUAUCUAACCAGGGCAACUUGGAGGAAAGUGUUGAAGGAGUGUUUUGUGAGGAGGACUAAGUCGUAACAAGGUAGUCGUAGGAGAACCUGCGGCUGGAUCACCUCCUUUCU